ACUGGAGGAGCUGAGGAAGAAUCCGGCAGUGUUCUACAACAUGUUUGUCAGUGAGGAGAUUCAACUACAGGCGAAGGACCUAUGCACUUUAUUUGACAUGGACUUCUCUGUGCAAGGCAGCAACAGGAUAGACUGAGAAAACAUGACAAUAUGCUUUUGGCGUGACUGGUUAAUUGAUAUUGAAGAAAGAGAAUGCAGUCCAGUCACCCUAGAGAAGGUAUUGGAGUUUACAUCUGGAGCUUCAACAGUGCCUCCACUGGGAUUUCCACACCGUCCACAAAUUCAGUUCCUUCAUGAGGGCAACAGAAUAUUCCCAGAAGCAAAUUCUUGUAUUCUUGUACUCCGCCUGCCGCUGCACUCUUCCUACGAAGCCUUCAAACAAUACAUGAUGGAGGGAAUUUUGGAAGCUCCAACCUUUGAACUUGCAUGAUGUCACUAUGUGUGUAAAACUUAUUAAUGGAAAUUCAGUUUUCACUUGAGCUAUAUUUGUGCUUAGAAGUUAUUGAAUAGAAUGCUGUUGAAGCAAGUCACUGGUUCAGAUGUUAAUUUUAGAAUCUCAUGCACUU